UACGUAGGGUGCGAGCGUUGUCCGGAAUUAUUGGGCGUAAAGGGCUCGUAGGCGGUCUGUCACGUCGAAAGUGAAAACUCAGGGCUUAACCCCGAGCCUGCAGUGGAUACGGGCAGACUAGAGGUAGGUAGGGGAGAAUGGAAUUCCCGGUGUAGCGGUGAAAUGCGCAGAUAUCGGGAGGAACACCGGUGGCGAAGGCGGUUCUCUGGGCCUUACCUGACGCUGAGGAGCGAAAGCGUGGGGAGCGAACAGG
rnacentral:rRNA from 1 species